rnacentral:rRNA from 1 species
UACGGAGGGGGCUAGCGUUGUUCGGAAUUACUGGGCGUAAAGCGUACGUAGGCGGCUUUGUAAGUUAGAGGUGAAAGCCCGGGGCUCAACUCCGGAAUUGCCUUUAAGACUGCAUCGCUUGAAUCAUGGAGAGGUGAGUGGAAUUCCGAGUGUAGAGGUGAAAUUCGUAGAUAUUCGGAAGAACACCAGUGGCGAAGGCGACUCGCUGGACAGACAUUGACGCUGAGGUGCGAAAGCGUGGGGAGCAAACAGG